rnacentral:rRNA from 1 species
CCUACGGGUGGCAGCAGUCGAGAAUCAUUCACAAUGGGGGAAACCCUGAUGGUGCGACGCCGCGUGGGGGAAUGAAGGUCUUCGGAUUGUAAACCCCUGUCAUGUGGGAGCAAAUUAAAAAGAUAGUACCACAAGAGGAAGAGACGGCUAACUCUGUGCCAGCAGCCGCGGUAAUACAGAGGUCUCAAGCGUUGUUCGGAAUCACUGGGCGUAAGGCGUGCGUAGGCUGUUGCGUAAGUCGUGUGUGAAAGGCGCGGGCUCAACCCGCGGACGGCACAUGAUACUGCGAGACUAGAGUAAUGGAGGGGGAACCGGAAUUCUCGGUGUAGCAGUGAAAUGCGUAGAUAUCGAGAGGAACACUCGUGGCGAAGGCGGGUUCCUGGACAUUAACUGACGCUGAGGCACGAAGGCCAGGGGAGCGAAAGGGAUUAGAUACCCUAGUAGUC